rnacentral:lncRNA from 1 species
AUACUCAGAAGCUGGCCCUACUGCAUCAGCCUAAUCAAGUUUUACCCCUGCCUGAGCUCUGGUGGGAGGUCUACUCUGAGAACUUGGGAGGGCAAACACCUGAGCAAAACUGGGGCUCUGUCAGCUCUGAUGGCCAGGAACAGCCCAAGGCCAACCGUGAGCAAUUAACUCCAUCUGCCACAUGGACUCACCUUGCUAUAGCUAAGAGAAGGGAUCAUUGCAGGUCCAUCACCCACUAGAUGACGAAUAAUGAGGAAUAAAAAAAGAUUUCUUUUAGAAGAGAUUUGAUUUCUAUUUUAAUCCUCUAAUUCCCCGUAAAAACUGGAAAAUACCUUAUAAACUUCAGCUCGAGUGCUAAAUUAGUUAAACAAGGAGACCAUUAGACUGAGGUGGCUCUAACGUCAUGGUGGCCUAUUUCUCCUGUCAGAAGAGGGAACCAAAGGAGACCCCCGACAGCCCCAGGAACAACAGCAAUGGAGCAUAGGUGGAUGUUUCUGGUGACCAGGAUGAGACCUGCUGGGACACCCCACUCACUCCAGAGCCUGCAGACACCAUCCUGGAAAAACUCGCAGAAGUCAGCAAAGGAAUCACUAAGGACGAAGACUGCUCUUGAACUUCCUUGGAAGGGACCACACAAGGUCCUCCUCACUACCCAGACGGCAGCCAACCUUCAGGGUCUUAAACCUUAGGUUCACAUCCCUCAAUUAAAAAGGGCUCCUCCAGACUCUUGGAAGCGCACACCAGCUGGAGACCUAAAAUUAAAAUUGACUAGAGAGGUUCCUCCCCAGAAGCAGACGGCGUCUUGAGGUGGACAGCUCUCCCAAGAUCAUGGAUCAAGACCUUCAUCUUCAAUAUGAAACCUUUAUUCCUUUUGCCUUUCUGCUAUUUGUUUUUUUCUCUUAACGCAUGGGAAGACAGUGCUCCUUAACUCUGGCAACUAUCACUGAAUGUACUGCUAAAGGCCAUAGUUACAUAACAAAAGUCCCUCGACUUUCUUGCUAAGGUAGUUUUAGAUAAUAGAAUUGCUUUAAUUACUUCUAGCUGAACAUGGAGUCUGUGCCAUAGCAAAUAGCUCCUGCUGUACCUGGAUCAACGCCUCUAGUAUUGUAGCAAAUACAGGAAAUUAACAAAAAAGCCACUUGGCUAAAACAGGUUGAUGCCUCUUCAGGUACAUUCUUUGAUUUAUUUGAUACCAAUUGGCUUGGUUCCUGGGGGCCCUAAGUCUGUUGGUAUUAUCCUCCUAAUAGUUGUCAUUGUAAUCUCCCUUGUGCACUAUGUUCUCUCAGAGAUCUUAAAUGCAUGUUCACAGCCAUCAGCAGUACAUCAGGUGGGCUCAUCGUGCCUGGACAAACAGAAACGAGAUGAACGGCAAAAAACAAUUCUUCCAUGGCUCUGACAUCAUAACCUAUGAGUUUCACAAUGAGACAAGAGCAACUUAACUCUGAUGGUGACUGAGAUUGGCACUAACAUCAAAUUUUUGGUCAAUCUCUCAUGUAUGAAAUGAUGACCAAAAGAGGGGAAUUGUUAAUUAAGCAAGGAGGCCAUUAGACUGAGGUGGCUCUAAUGCUGUGGUGGCCUAUGUAAACAAACCAAAAUCUAAGCCUCUAAAUGCCUCGAGGUUACAAAAUCAAAACUCUAAGGACCACCAAUCACAAACAGCCAACCAGACUUGAAGCUAUAGUCAAUCAAUAAUUUCCUUACUUCUGCCUCUUCUCUAUAAAAGUCUGCCUGAGCUCCUGACAGUGAAGCACUCCUAGCCACCUCGUUUGGCACUGCCAGAUUCCAACAGAUGUUUGCUCAAAUAAACUCAAAAAUUUUAAUACACUUUAGUUUAUUGUUUAACAAGUGACUUCCUCUCUGGAGCUUUUUACGACACUCUCCCUCCUCCUCGGGGGAUGUAAGCACUUGUGUCUGCUCUCUUCUAAACCGGCUUUAUCAGAGCACGUAUGAGGCUUGCACUUGCUUGCAUGCUCCUCUGCCCCUCCUGAAAUGUGUCCUCUUUGAGGCCGGGGACAAUAUCUGUAUUCUAUUCUGUGUGUUUAGGAUCUAGCACACAGGAGGCUCAAUAAAUAUUUGUUGAAUGAAUGAAUGGGGGAGGAGAAAUGAUCCAGAAAUGCCUAAUAUUAAUAACAAGCAUUUACCCAGGACUAAUUAUACGGCAGGCAUUACACAAAGGCAUGUAUGCUGAAUGGACUGAUUUAUUCCUAAGACAGCCCUAUGAAGUAGGAGCCACUAUUAUCUUCACUUUAAAUUUAAGAAAAGUACAUCACAGUGAGGCUAAUCACUUGUCUAAGGUCACAAACUAGGAAGUGACAAGUGUGGCACUGGAUCCCAGAGCCCAUCAUGUUCUUUGCCUUUACACAGAGAGGGAAAAGGAUGCUCCACCCGCAUUAGAGGUGGAGACCUCUCUAGAGGGCCCUAAUCCAGGGGAGAGCUGCAAGGGGUGCUGCCAUUGGUGGGAUUUGUAGCUUUUAGGAUCCUGAAGGCUUUUGCAUUCUUGGACAUUUUACGGGGACAGGGAAAAAAGCAUUUCUCAAGGACUUAAGAAGGGAUGGCAAUGGAGAGAAACAAAAGAUAGCAUCUAAGGUUUUGCUCUAAAAGGUUAGAAUCUGGAGAGAAAACCUCCAUUCACUGGCAAGAAAAGUAAAAACACUAACGCUGGGGCUGGCCCCCUGGCCGAGUGGUUAAGUUUGUGCUCUCUGCUUCACGGCCCAGGGUUGUUGGUUCGGAUCCUGGGUGCAGACCUGCACACCACUCCUGAAGCCAUGCUGUGACAGCAUCCCACACAGAAGAACUAGAACGACUUACAACUAGUAUAUGCAAC